CCAAUUACCACUUCUUU
rnacentral:miRNA from 1 species